UCCUCAACGUAAGUCGAUAUUCCAUUGUCUGCUCAUUUUUGUUCUACUUGUAAUUCUAAUCGUGUCUUUUUCAGUUGGUGCAUAAUGCAUCGGUAUUAGAGAUAGGAGUCCGGGGACCAUUGGAACUUGAUCGGACAUGGACUAAUCAGGUUGUAAAUGCAAUUGCUGAUAAGGAAGUCACCGACGAGCUUCUUCAAGCGACGAUCGAUCGGAAAAAGAAAUACAAGGAAGAAAUCUCCUGCUUGAAGGUCGAGU
rnacentral:lncRNA from 1 species